rnacentral:rRNA from 1 species
CGCGACCCCAGGUCAGGCGGGGCUACCCGCUGAGUUUA